UACGGGGGGGGGCAAGCGUUGUUCGGAAUUACUGGGCGUAAAGGGCUCGUAGGCGGCCAACUAAGUCAGACGUGAAAUCCCUCGGCUUAACCGGGGAACUGCGUCUGAUACUGGAUGGCUUGAGGUUGGGAGAGGGAUGCGGAAUUCCAGGUGUAGCGGUGAAAUGCGUAGAUAUCUGGAGGAACACCGGUGGCGAAGGCGGCAUCCUGGACCAAUUCUGACGCUGAGGAGCGAAAGCCAGGGGAGCCAAACGGG
rnacentral:rRNA from 1 species